rnacentral:lncRNA from 1 species
UAAUGAAUGCUAGGAGAAUUCUCGCGGCCGCCUUUUUGGCAGGCAUUACCAUCUUGAUAGCUGGAAUGUGGGACGCUAAUGCGCAUCAGCCUACGGAUCCAGGCCGCGCAUAUCCCUCGUGCGACCAACAGUGCGCAUAUAAAAACGGCGUCGGAGGCUCCUGCCCUGAAAACUGCAUCUGCUGGUCUACUAGUCAUGGCCUUAAUACACCGGCAGGCUUCAACGGCUCAGGAAUCUGCGUGUAUCCUGCUCCGA